rnacentral:rRNA from 1 species
UACGUAGGGUGCGAGCGUUGUCCGGAAUUAUUGGGCGUAAAGGGCUCGUAGGCGGUGUGUCACGUCGGCCGUGAAAACUUGCAGCUUAACUGUGGGCGUGCGGUCGAUACGGGCAUCACUGGAGUUCGGCAGGGGAGACUGGAAUUCCUGGUGUAGCGGUGAAAUGCGCAGAUAUCAGGAGGAACACCGGUGGCGAAGGCGGGUCUCUGGGCCGAUACUGACGCUGAGGAGCGAAAGCGUGGGGAGCGAUCCGG